UACGUAGGGUGCAAGCGUUGUCCGGAAUUAUUGGGCGUAAAGAGCUCGUAGGCGGUCUGUCGCGUCGGCUGUGAAAAUCCGUCGGGCUCAACCCGCGACCUGCAGUCGAUACGGGCAGACUGGAGUUCGGCAGGGGAGACUGGAAUUCCUGGUGUAGCGGUGAAAUGCGCAGAUAUCAGGAGGAACACCGGUGGCGAAGGCGGGUCUCUGGGCCGUAACUGACGCUGAGGAGCGAAAGCGUGGGGAGCGAACAGG
rnacentral:rRNA from 1 species